GACGAACCGUGCGAACGUUGUUCGGAUUAACUGGGCUUAAAGGGUGCGUAGGCGGCGACGCCAGUCUGUGGUGAAAUCCUCCCGCUCAACGGGAGAACUGCCGUGGAUACUGCGGACCUCGAGGAAGAUAGGGGCGUGCGGAACAGUUGGUGGAGCGGUGAAAUGCGUUGAUAUCAACUGGAACUCCGGUGGCGAAGGCGGCACGCUGGGUCUUUUCUGACGCUGAGGCACGAAAGCUAGGGGAGCAAACGGG
rnacentral:rRNA from 1 species